rnacentral:lncRNA from 1 species
AGAUAAAAAUAUGAGUUAAUAAUCGACUGUGUUCUCGUUUACUGGUCCUUCCAUUAUAUAUACAUCAUCAUUUACUAAUCCUUCAAUUAUUUACUUUCCAUAGGUUUACAGAAAACUUCUGCAGACUACAUUUUUGCACUUUAGUGUUGGUACAUGUAGGUUUUGAUAACACAAAUGUGGAAAUUAUGAAAAAACCGGAGGCCGUUUUUAUGUGGUUUGAGCGAUACAAUUUAACAUUGUCGAAAAGGAGGUGAAAAUAAAUGUGCAGUAGUGCUAUCCUACAAGACAAAGUUUUAUUUUAAUUUAACAUUAAUGUCGCUUAGCUCGAGUAAAAUCGUACCAACGUUUUGAAGGACUUUGCCCAACGGUGACGCCAUUGAUAUUUACACAUAAGAAGGACGAAACCAUUGAUGAAUAAUUGUUCAUUUUGUAGAAAGUUAGACGAGGUCAUAGCCAUUCUGUUUCCGGCUCACUAAGCUGCACCUUUCUUUGUAUAUAAGAUCCUUAAAACUGACGAGAUUCAUGUCAAUUUAUUUUGCGUCAUUGUAUAUAGCAUGCAUGGGGACGUCCAUUCAUUUCAGUGUUUUAAAGUAUUUUUCACUUUAAUUCUCAUUCAAUUCGCCAAACCUCUCAUUUGCUUUUUGUCACGUGUUCAAAACAAUCCGAAACUUUGAUUUUACUUUAUCCUUACGAAGACACAUAACCCCUUUAAAGGCAAUAUUUUAAACCAAUCUAAUUAGUAUUUCAGCUCUUUAUGUUUACUUUGCUUUUUCUUUUCAUAUACUGUGCUUGACUGUUCGUUUUUCCAUCUUGCAUCCGUAUUGGUUUUUACAAUCAUGUCAUUCGUUUUUUAUACUUCUAUAAUAAACAUAGGCCUACACAUAGACCGCAGUAAGCCAAUGCGCAUAAAUGCUAUCCGAAAACGUUCUCAUAGAAAUGUACACAAUCCAUACCGGAUGUGAUUUCUUUUUCAUUGCAGACAAUGUUGGCAAAUUUUGAGCGUUGCAUAAUGCAAUCAUUGACCGUUCGUGAAUUCGAAACGGAGCCUGAGCAAGUGAAGGGAAUUGCAAAUUUACAACACAGAUACGUUUUACAGAUUUUCCUACAUUUUUACGUUUUUCAACAAAAAAAAACAUCUAUAAAUGGGAAUAAAAGAGCAUUGAAUCAGUCUUAACGGCCGUUUUUAAACCUUGCAGGGUCAUGGCCGGGUUGACUUGCAGGUCACAGGUCAUGCAAAAUCUAUCCAAUCAGAGGUGAAUUCAUCAGAGUAGGCCCAGCGUCCUGUUUGCCGGCGAACGAGCGAACGCUGUAUACUACGAUGUGUACCACGUGACUAUAGCAUUACUGCACACAUCAUGCCUCCAUUGACACAAUUUUCAUUAACAACUUCACGAAUUGUUACAAAGAAUGUCGGUGAAGUAUUUCAUUUAUUUUGGGGUUUGUGAAAAAUGAAUUUUUUUAUUUUUAUGGGAAACUUAGAGGGCUCGUGUUUGGUGAAUUACCGACCGACCGACCAACUAACCACAAAGGGACAUGUAGAAGCUCGUGCCAGAGCUUAAAACUGUUCUUUUUCAACGUAAGACAUGACGAUAAUCAAACGGACCUACUGCCUUUCAGUGAUCUCCAGACGGAUAUGUAUGCUCAAUGACCCAGCAAUCGGUAAAUGUCUGUGAAAACACUACAAGUAAAGCUACUGAGGAUUACACAUUUUCAGUUUCACAUCUUUACUUCAUUGCAGAAACAACCACCAAAAAGGACUCGUUUUGCUGCAACUUCAGUUCAAGGAAACAAAUGGCCGUCGUUGGAAUUUCUGAAAAUCUGUAAACUAAGUUUGGUUGUAAAUGGUUUUUCGAGUUUUUUUCACACGGUCGAAAUAUAACAUUUUGAUCCAAAAUCUGCCGAUAUUUACGCCUCUCAAGCCCACUGCUUUUCUGGUUGCCCAAAACACGAAGGAUGGGAACUCGGAGAAGGUCUUUAAGUAUAAAAACGUGGUGACCGUUCAUCAUGUCCCUCUGUAGUUCCGACGACUGCCAGCGGUACUGUAUCAUACACUUUAAGCCUAAAGUGUUGACGAUAAGAAAGCGCGCAUACCGCGCGUGCUUCAUAAGAAUAUCCCUGUUUCAAUUCCUCUUAUAGAGGCCUUGGCCUACAUUGAAAAGAGCGACUUAUUAACUGAGCACUACUUGUAAAAUGCAAAAUAGCUCAGUACAUCAUGUGCCGGAUCUCUACAUUGGCACUUUAUUAAAAAAGAAAAGAAAAAGGAAACGCCUUUAAGAAAAAUGAGGUCAAAAUGUAAUGAAGCUAUCCAAAUCUUAAUUCCAGCAACUAUGCGCCAAUGUUUUUAUUGAAACUAGCAAUUGAAAGGGAUUGAUGAAAACUGUGAGCUUUGGGUAGUUGAGCAGUUCGUGGAUAUGGAAAAGAGAGUAAUUACGGGGGCCUGGGCAUUACAUGCGAGUCUGAAAUUAGCGGUUGGGCAUUGGUGGUGUUUGGGAACACGAACAUUUUGUUGUACGUUUCAAUUUGUGGCUACGAUUUUACUCACUGUUUGACGGGUUCCAAACCUUCACAUUCAAAAAUAGCAAUAGAAUUACGGAGAGAGGCGCACACUAUGUGACAUAUGUUUACAAUAUUGGAUGUUGUGGUCACGUGAUGCCAACUUUCAGCAAACGGUUCUUCUUCUGAACUGCGUGUCUCUUGAAGGUUUAAAAGUGUUCCUGCCAACAAUACUUAUAGGCUAAAUGUUUGGGUUGUCCGGCGGGUGGCUGUCGCCAUGACGUCACUUUGCACAUGGUCUAUAGACAAAAUUAGCCAGUGCAAAGUACCAGUUUUGAUUUGAUCGUUUUAGUAUUGGUCACAUAUGAUUUAUUUCAAUUACAAUCCAAUUUAAUUCCCAUGUAAACGCCUUUCACUCAACUGGUUUAAUAAUUCGUACCACGUUAUAAUUGUGGGUCCACAAGCAGCCUGACUGUUUAGUGGCAUCUGGGCAAUUGUUACUGUAAGAUAUUGGUUGUUAGUCAGCCUGUUCAUGUCACAAUGAACAAAAAAUCAAAAAUACCACAGUGUACGGCACCUGUGUACAUGAUGAUGUUUACAUGUGUACAUGUAUAUCUAAACA